AAAGCUGGCGUCUUCGGCGUCCGCAUUGUAAUCUCAAGAAGUGUUUUCCGCUUCGGACCAUGCCUAAGUCCCUUGGAAAAGGGCAUCAUAGAGGGUGAUAAUCCCGUACAUGGCAUGGAGCGCCCGAAGCUUUGUGAUACGCUUUCUAAGAGUCGAGUUGUUUGGGAAUGCAGCUCAAAAUGGGUGGUAAAUGCCAUCUAAGGCUAAAUAUUGGGGAGAGACCGAUAGCGAACAAGUACAGUGAUGGAAAGAUGAAAAGAACUUUGAAAAGAGAGUUAAACAGUACGUGAAAUUGCCAAAAGGGAAGGGUAGGAGGUCAGAGAUGCGGCCUGGGAUUCAGCCUUGCUUUUGCUUGGUGUUUUUCCCAGAUUGCAGGCCAACGUCGGUUUUGGGCACUGGAGAAGGGUAGGAGGAACGUGGCACCUCUCGGGGUGUGUUAUAGCCUCCUACUGGAUACAGCGACCGAGACCGAGGACAGCAGCGUACUCGCAAGAGCGGGCCUUCGGGCACCUUUACGCUUAGGGCGUUGGCAUAAUGGCCCUCUACCAC
rnacentral:rRNA from 1 species